UUGCUCAUGGUCUGUCUGAUGAUUGACACCACACAGCACAGCUUCUACUGCUGAGUCUAAAUGAUGUGCCUGAUAAUCAGUGAACAAAUGAAACUCUUCCACAUUAAAUGUCUGAUGGAUACACCAUACAACACACUCCCUACUGCCAAGUUCAGCAGAUGUUUCACCAGAUCCUUAGUGUACUAAGAGACCAUGGCUCAUGGGCUGUCCACUGGUGAUACCACACAGCAUACUUUCUACUACCAAGAUUCAAGAGAUGGUACAUGUGAU